AGCAGGGCCAGUCUUCAGUUAGUGCCCUCACAGCUCAGAGUUCAUCUCAUGCCCCAUCCGCUCAGGGUUCUUCUGCGCCGAGUGCACCUUCUAGUCACUACGGUACGAGGGGUUCCCUUCAGUCCCCAUUUCCAGCACCGGGCAGCUGUUAUGAGUGCGGAGAGUUUGGUCACUUGAGGAGGCAGUGCCCUCGACUCCGUGGCAAACAACAUCAGCAGAGGGGUCAGCCCUCGACUUCUGCUCCAGCUACUUCACAAUCCGCCCAGCCAGCUAAGGGUGGAGAUCAGGCAGCCAGGGUCGCCCUAGAGGUGGAGAUCGAUCAGGCAGUGGCUAUGCUCGUUUCUAUGCUAUGCCGGGCAAGACAGAUGUCAUUGCUUCAGAUGCUGUCAUUACAGGUAUUGUCUUAGUCUUCCAUGGAGACGCCUCAGUAUUAUUUGACCCCGGUUCCACCUAUUCUUAUGUGUCAUCAUAUUUUGCUCGUUAUUUGAGUAUGCCCCAGGAGUCUUUAUCUGUACUUGUUCAUGUGUCUAUCCACGUGGGCGAUAUUUUUAUUGUGGAUAGCGUGUACCGGUCAUGUGUUGAGGUUAUUUGGGGUCUAGAGACCCGAGUUGAUCUAUUGCUAUUGAGCAUGGUGGACUUUGACGUUAUUCUGGGCAUGAAUUGGUUAUUUCUGUGUCAUGCUAUUCUAGACUAUCAUGCUAAGACAGUCACUUUUGCUAUUCCGGGUGUACCGCGUAUCAAGUGGUGUGAUAUGACUGAUUAUGUUCCUAAUAGAGUGAUUUCUUUAUUGAAAGCCCAACGUAUGAUUGGGGAGGGUUGUCUGUCAUAUCUAGUUUUUGUGCGGGAUGUUGGAGCUGAGACUCCUAGCAUUGAUUCUGUUCUAGUUGUGAGGGAUUUUCCCGAUGUAUUUCCUACAGACCUGUCGGACAUGCCAGCGGAUAGAGAUAUUGAUUUUGGUAUUGACCUGGUGCGGGGCACUCGGCCCAUUUCCAUUCCGCCAUAUCGUAUGGCACCAGCGGAGUUGAAAGAAUUGAAGGAUCGGCUUUAGGAACCGGGCAUGCCACCGAACAGGGACAUUGAUUUUGGUAUUGACCUGUGUCCAGGCACUCAGCCCAUCUCUAUUCCGCCAUAUUAUAUGGCACCAGCGGAGUUGAAUGAAUUGAAGGAGAAGCUUCAAGAGCUCCUGGAUAAGGGGUUCAUUCGGCCUAGUGUGUCACCUUGGGGUGCGCCAGUUCUGUUCGUGAAGAAGAAAGAUGGAACAAUGAGAAUGUGCAUCGACUAUAGGCAGUUGAACAAAGUAACAGUAAAGAACAAGUAUCCCCUGCCUCGCAUUGAUGACUUAUUUGACCAGCUUCAGGGAGCAAGGGUGUUCUCCAAGAUUGAUCUUCGUUCGGGUUAUCACCAGUUGAAAAUCAGGGGUUCAGAUAUUCAUAAAACUGCUUUCAGGACUAGAUAUGGUCACUGUGAGUUUCUUGUUAGGUCUUUGUUCGGGUUAUCACCGGUUGAAGAUCAGGGAUUCAGAUAUUCAUAAGACUGCUUUCAGGACUAGAUAUAGUCACCAUGGGUUUUUUGUUAUGUCUUUCGGGCUGACCAAUGCCCCAGCAACAUUCAUGCAUAUGAUAAAUAGUGUAUUUCGGCCUUAUCUGGAUUCAUUUGUCAUAGUGUUCAUUGAUGAUAUUCCGGUGCACUCGCGUAGUCAGGAGGAGCACGCGCAACAUUUGCGAGUUAUAUUGCAGAGAUUGAGGGAGGAGAAGCUUUAUGCAAAGUUCUCCAAGUGUGAGUUUUGGCUCAGUUCAGUGGCUUUCUUCAGACACGUGGUGUCCAUCGAGGGUAUUCAGGUUGACCCAAAGAAGAUAGAGACGGUGCAGAGUUGGCCUAGACCUUCGUCAGUCACAGAGAUUCGUAGUUUCCUUGGGUUGGCAGGCUAUUAUCGCCGGUUUGUUCAGGGUUUUUCCUCUGUUGCAUCGCCCUUGACCAAGUUGACUCAGAAGGGUUAUUCAUUUGUAUGGUCGGACGAGUGUGAGGAGAGCUUUCAGAAGCUCAAGAUAGCUUUGACCACAGCUCCAGUAUUGGUUUUACCGUCAGCUUCAGGUUCCUAUAUGGUCUAUUGCGAUGCUUCCAGGGUUGGGAUAUGUUGUAUAUUGAUGCAGGAGGGUAGAGUUAUCACUUAUGCUUCCCUUCAGUUGAAGCCCCAUGAGCAUAGCUACCCCGUUCAUGAUUUGGAGUUAGCUGCUAUAAUACAUGCCUUGAAGAUUUGGAGGCACUACCUAUAUGCGUAUCUUGUGAGGUAUUCACCGAUCAUCGCAGCCUUCAACAUCUGUUCAAGUAAAAGGAUCUUAAUUUGAGGCAGCGGAGAUGGCUAGAGUUACUGAAGGAUUAUGAUAUUAUUAUUCUGUAUCACCUGGGGAAGGACAAUGUAGUGGCCGAUGCUUUGAGCCGAAAGGCGGUGAGUAUGGGGUGCUUGGCAUACAUUCCAGUUGAGGAGAUGCCAUUUUCAGUUGAUGUUCAGGCCUUGGCCAAUCGAUUUGUAAGACUAGAUAUAUCGCAACCCAGUCAGGUGUUGGCUUGUGUGGUUUCUCGGUCUUCCUUGUAUGACCGCAUCAGAGAGUGUCAGUAUGAGGAUUCGCAUAUGCUUGUCCUUAAGGACAGGGAUCAGUAUGAUGAUUCCAGGGAUGUGACCAUUGGAGAUAAUAGUGUGUUGAGGAUGCAUGGCCGGAUUUGCUUGCCAAAUGUGAAUGGGCUUCGAGAGUUGAUAUUGGAAGAGGUCCAGAGCUCGCGGUAUUCCAUCCAUCCGGGUGCCGCAAAGAUGCAUCAGGAUCUUAGACAUCACUAUUGGUGGCGGAUGAUGAAGAGAGAUAUUGUGGAGUAUGUAGCCGGGUGUCUUAAUUGUCAGUAGGUGAAAUAUGAGCAUCAGAGACCGGGUGGCUUGCAUCAGUAGAUGGUUAUUCCUGAGUGGAAAUGGGAGAGGAUCACAAUGGAUUUUGUUAUCGGACUCCCUCGGACUUUGAAGAAAUUUGAUGCCAUUUGGGUGAUUGUAGAUAGGCUGACCAAGUUCCCGCACUUCAUUCCGGUUUGUACUACUUAUUCUUCAGAGCGAUUGGCAGAAAUUUAUAUUCGGGAGAUUGUUCGGUUUCAUGGUGUCCGAGUUUCCAUCAUAUCAGAUCGGGGCACUCAGUUUACUUCUCAGUUUUGGCAGACGGUUCAGCGAGAGUUGGGUGCUCAGGUACAAUUAAGCACAACCUUUCACUCUUAGACGGACGGACAGUCCGAGCGCACCAUUCAUAUAUUAGAGGAUAUGUUACGCGCCCGUGUUAUUGAUUUUGGAGGGUCAUGAGAGGUUUCUACCGCUUGGAGAGUUUGCCUACAAUAACCACUAUCAGUCCAGCAUUCAUGUGGCACCGUAUGAGGCCUUGUAUGGGAGACAGUGUAGAUUUCCAGUUGGUUGGUUCGAGCCCGGUGAGGCUAGAUUUUUGGGGACAGAUUUGGUUCAGGAUGCAUUGGAGAAGGUGAAGAUGAUUCAGGAGAGACUCCGUACAGCGCAGUUGAGGCAAAAGAGUUAUGCGGAUAGGAAGGUCCGAGAUGUAUCCUAUAUGAUUGGUGAGAAGGUUUUGCUGAAGGUUUUACCCACGAAGGGAGUGAUGAGAUUCGAAAAGAAAGGAAAGUUGAGUCCGCGGUUCAUUGAAACUUUUGAAGUACUUAGGAGGAUUGGGGAGGUGGCUUAUAUGCUUGCUUUGUCACCCAUCUUGUCGAGUGUGCAUCCAGUUUUCCAUGUUUCUAUGCUCUGGAAAUAUAUUGGGGACCCGUCCCAUGUUCUGGAUUUCAGCACGGUUCAGUUAGAGGGUGAUUUAACUUAUGAUAUAGAGCCAACAACCAUUCUGGAUCGUCAGUUUCAGAAGUUGAGGUCAAAGGAUGUUGCUUCGGUAAAGGUACAAUGGAGAGGUCGACUCGUGGAGGAGGCUACAUGGGAGACCGAGCGGGAGAUGCAGAGCAGAUACCCUCACCUAUUUGAGGCUUCAGGUAUGUUUCUUGACUCGCUCGAUGACGAGCGCUUAUUUAAGUUGGGGAGGAUGUGACGACCCAACCCGUCAUCACGUGGGUUACCAUCCCGUUUCCCCUAUUUUAUGCUUCUUUAUGCUUCAUUAUGAAUGGUUUGUGUGAACGAGUUGAUUUGGAUUGAAAUGAGACACUUAGUCUCUUUAAGGAAGGCUUGUUUUGGAAAAGUCAACCGGUUGUUGACUUAUGUGCUAGGAGGCUUGGAUGUGAAUUCCGAUGAUUCGUUAGCUUCAAGGGAUGAAUUGUGACUUAGGAGUGUGAUCGGAAGUAAUUUUGGAGGUCCAAUGUAGAAUUAGGCUUGAAUUGACAAAGUUAGUAUUUUGGCGAAUUCCGGUUGGUAGGUGAGAUCAGAGAGGAAUUUGUAUCUUCGUUAGGUGAUUUGGGAUGCGUGUGUAAAAUUUCGGGUCAUUCAGAGGUGAUUUGGUUUGUUUUUUUGUCAAAUGCGUGUUUCAGAAGUUUUAGAAGAACUUAUGCUUGAAUCCGAUGUAAUUUGAUAGUUUUAUUGUUGUUUGUGGUGUUUUGAUGGUUGGAGCAAGUUCGAAUGAUGUUUUAGGAUGAGUUGACACUUUUGGUUGAGGUCCCGGGGGCCUCGGGUGAGUUCGGAUGGCUAAACGGGAAGUAUCAGACUUGGAAAUACAGCAGCAGCUGCUAGACUCGCAAAUGCGAGAAAAGGGUUCGCAUUUGCGAGUGAGGCUUCGCAUUUGCGAAAAGGCUAACCUGAGGCAGGGUUCGCAUUUGCGAGAAAUGUGUCGCAUUUGCGACCUUGGCAGGGUCCAUAAUUGCGAGCCAGAUGUCGCAUUUACGACCUUGGCAUGAGAGGUACACCUUUGCAAUUUCGAAGGUUUUGUCUCAUUUGCGAACCAGGUGUCGCAAAUGCGACAUCUAAGGGUUGUGUCCAGUUAUAAAAAAAAUUCGAACUUAGCUCGUUUCCCUCACUUCCCACUUGGCAUUGGGCGAUUUUUGAGAGCUUUUGGAUGGAGAUUGAAGAAGGUUUCUACUGGGAUUGAUUGAAGGUGAGUUCUAUGAACUAAAAACAUGAUUUAAUUGUAGAAUCAACCUAGAAAUUUAUGUAAACUUAGCAAAAAAGGGAAGAACUAGUGCUUGAGAUUUGGUAUUGCAAAUUGGGAUUUGAGGGGUCAUUUGGACUCCAAUUUUGGAAGAACUAGGGCUUGCAUUUUGGUAUUGCAAAUUGGGAUUUGAGGGGUCAUUUGGACUCUGAUUUUGGUGUUCGUUAUGUGUAGACUCGUGGCGAGAUAAGGAACCCGUUGGUAUCAGAAUUUCUGAGUUUUGAGAAGUGAGCCCGGGGCUCGUAUUUUGCUAAUUUCGAGAUUUUUGUUAUUUUGCGAUACUUUUCGAUUGGGUAUUGUUCAAUUGGCAUAUUGUGACGUAUUCGUAUUGGUUUUGAUCAGAUUUGAUGCGCGAGGAGGUCGACUUGAAAGGAAAAGGCAUAGCGAGCUAGGAUUUAUUGCCAAUAUUAUCUGGUGGUGUAUCAUAACCAGAAUUUCUUUUCCACUCACCAUGUGUCCAAAGAUUUGCGGCAAGUUAAUUUCUAAUGUCUUUUAUGUCUUUGAGUUAGAAUUUCUCCACAUCCUUUCCGAUCUUCAACAACUCUACAUACUUGAUCAGAAAUGCAACAAAAUCAGUCCUAAGAAAACUAUAAGAUAUGCAGUAAAUUAAACAAUAAAUCUAAAGUACAUAUAAAUAAUAUAAUAAAUAACAGCAUGUACGAUCCAGUUUGGUUUGAUGAUCUUUGCCACUGAAUAUCAAAUUUGUUGAAGGCAUUUCCAAAAGACUUGUGAUGUUUGUCAAACUGUGAGAACUUAAGCAAGUGGGGGACCAUACGUGCAUACAUUUUCAUGUGAUUCAUUCCUACCUAAUAUGACUCACUGUAUAUGGAAUCGUAUACAUCAAUCUUUUUCUGAUUCAAGUGCAGUACCCCCAAAAGAAAGUGUGUCACAACUAGCAAGUGGGGGAUCAUGCGUGGAUACAUUUCAUGUGAUUCAUUCCUGCCUCAUAUGGCCCACUAUAUAUGGAAUCGCACACAUCAAUCUCUUUCUAAUUGAAGUCCAAUAACCCAAAAAGAAAGUGUGUCAUAUCAUUAUCAUCUUCUAAAGGAAGCCGAAAUGGAGAAAAUAUUUUGUCAACCUCUAUCCAAGCAAUUCCACAUCUACGACCAACCCCCAUACAUAUGGUGUCAGAAACAACUGAUUAUAUCAAGCACACCAAAAGUCAUCAGUAGCAUCUUCACUUAAAUCUUUAUACACAAGCACCAUAUAGUUAUCAAAAAGAAUAUUAGUAGUUGUGCAACGAAAAUGAUGGUUGCGAGAGUGGUAGCAUUCCUUCUUUCUUAGAUAAUAUAGGGCAAUAUCAAUAUGCUUUAUAAAAAGAAAAAAAAAUAAAACAAAUCCAUUAGAUAUAAAAUAAUUUAAGAAAUAUAAAUUAAGAAUAAAGAAAAUAAAUGCCUUGUGAAUUAUCAAUCCUUAUCAUCAAGUAUAAAGCUACUAUUUGAAAGCUCAAGGAAGAAUAUUUUGCUACUGAUUUUGAUGAUACAGUUUAUAUGGAUUCUUUCUCACACUGUUAUCAUCAACACAUAUAUCAGUUUGUCCCCUGAAAAUUUUGAAAAUAUCAAAUUUAGAAGUUAGUCCUGAACUUAGUCUUUCAAGUUGAAAAGUUAAGGACAGACAAUCCUUAAAUUUGAAUUAUAGGUACAAAAGCUAAGGACACUUGGUCCUGAAGUUUGAGUUUCAAGUUCAAAAGUUAAGGACAUAUAGUCUUGAACUUAGACUUAUAAGUUCAAAUAUUCAUGACACUAUGCCCUUAACUUUGAGUUCAAAUUUCAAAACUUAAGGACUGUCUGUCCUUAACUUUGAGUUUCAAGUUCAAAAGUUAAGGACAAGAGUCCUUAUGUUUGACUUGCAGGUUUAAAAGUUAAGGACAUGCAGUUAUUAAGUUUGAAUUACAGGUUCGAAAGUUAAGGACACAUGGUCCUGAACUUUGUUUUCCAAGUUGAAAAGUUAAGGAUACUUGCUCCUUAACUUUGUAUUAAAAUUAAAAAUUUAAGGACACUUGUUCCUAAACUUAAACUUACAAUCACAGAAGUUAAGGACACUUAACUUUAGCAAUUUCAAAAUCAAUACACUUAAUCCUAAAAUUUAAAUUAUAAGUUUAGGACACAAAUUUAAGCAAUUAACAAAUAAUAAAAUACAUUAAGGGACUUACUCUUUUUUGUGACCUCUCCUUUUCUCCUUGCCCAUUCACAUUUUUCAGUAAUUUUGCACCAUCUGUGGCAUAAUGAAAAAUACACCUACGAGUAUUUGUUGAUUUUAUCCAGCCAGAACUCUUGGGAGUAUUUUCAUUGUGUGCCAUCGAUGUUCUUGUUUUGCUUUCUUGAUCAAUAGGAUAUUUCAAUAGCCAACUAGGUUUCUUGUUCCUUUUACCUCGACCAAACUCUUCUUCAACAUUUCCUUUAACCUCCACAGACAAACUGUAAUGACUCGUCCAGUUUUAUUUGGAAUUUACGUCCCGAUCCCCUAUUAAAUAUGUUUCCCAAGUUUAUUUCUGCUAUAUGGAUUUUCCGGGAUGUUCGGUUUUAAGUUUCAGAUAGUUUGGGACACUUAGUCACUAAAUAAGAGUUUAAGUGUUGAAAAGUUGACUGUAGUCGGAACAGUGUGAAGUCCAACUCGAAAUGGAAAAAUCUAAUGGUUCCAUUAUCUCCGUUAGGUGAUUUUGGGUUUAGGGGCGCGGCCGGAUUUUGCUUUGGGUGUCUGUAGCUAUUUUAGGAUUGAAAUACUGAAAGGUAAAUUUUUGAAGUUUCUGGUUCGAUAAUGAGAUUUUGAUCCGAGGGUCAGAAUAGAAUCUGAGAGUUUCAGUAGUUCCGUUAUGUCAUUUUAGAUGUGUGUGCAAAAUUUCAGGUCAUUCGGAGGUGAUUUGGUUGGGUUUUUGACCAAAAAAGUAAUUCAGCAGAUUUUUAGAAACUUAGGCUUGAAUAUGAUGAGUUUUUGGAAAUUUGAUAUUGUUUAAGGUGUUUUAAAGAUUGAUACAAGUUUGAAUGAUGUGUUAGGAUUGGUUGGCAUGUUUGGUAGAGGUUACGAAGGCCUCGAGUGUGUUUCGGAUGCUCAAUGGGUCAUUUUUGAAACUUAGGAAAUUGCAGAAAAUGGUUGCAGCAGUCAGUUCUAGUUUCCUUCUUCGCGUUCCCGGGUGGGUCCUCGCAUUUGCAAAGAGGAGCUGGGGCAGGGGGAAGGUUGUGCUUCGCGUUUGCGAAGUGCAUCCUACUUUCGCUAAGGGUUGCGAAGUGGAGCUAAAGGUUUGAGCUAUGCGUUCGCGAUGUACUGGGAAGCUGAGCUUCGUGUUCGCGAGCAAGGAGUCGUAUUCAUGUAGAAGGAAAAAUGGUCAUCGUCAAUUCGUGCUUCGUGAACGUGAGUCUUUGACCGCAUUCACGAAGAAGGAUUUUAAAUGUCUAGGCAAAAUGUUUUAAAAGGCUUGUUUGGCGAAUUUUACCCUAGUUUCCUCCAUUAUUAGGUGAUUUUGAAGAUUUUUGAAGAGGGUUGAGAGGGAUUCAAGGGGAAUCACUUGGAGGUAAUAUUUUUGACUUCAUAACUCAUUUUUAUGUGAUUAAAUACCUAAUUAGUGAUGAGAAAUUUGGAAAAAAUAGGUAAUUAGGGCUUGAGUUUAAGAGGCCUUUAAUGAGGAUUUGAGAGGUCACUUGGACUCUGAUUUCAGUGUUCUUAUUAUGUAUAGACUCGUGAGAGUACGAGGUUCGCGAAAAUGUAAAUUUCACCCGAUUCCAAGAUGUGGGCCUGAGGGGCAUUUCGGUCAUUUUACCUAAUUUUGUAUAUUAGCUCAGAAUUUAAUUGUGGAAUUAGUUGCUUGAAGUGUUAUUUACAAUAUUCAAUUGAAUUGAAUAGAUUUGGGAUACUUGAAGUUGAGUACUCAUGGCAAAGGCGUGAUUUCGGGUUGAUUUGAGCUUGUUUAAAACCAUUCCGAAACACCAGAAGACAUCAAAAAAUACCAGAUUUCUAAGUCUAAAACCAUUCUGAAACACAUCUGAAACACACCCUAACCCUCUGGGCACCUAACCAAACACUUGUACUAACUCAACAAUAUAAUACGAACUUAUCUGUGCGAUCAAAUCGCCAAAAUGACCUAAAAAAAAAAUCAAACCACAAAAUUAAGAACUUUUCUCUCAAACUUCAUCUCGUUUCAAAUUAAGAAAUUCAAGUCUGAAUCGCGUCAAAAUUCAUUUCUCGGGUUUGGGACUUCGAAAUUUGAUUCCGGGCAUAUGCCCAAGUCCCAUAUUUUUCUACAGAUUCUCCAAGGCCGUCAAAAGACGGGCCCUAGUCCUUUUUCCCAAAACAUCGAUUGAAGCUAAAUUUAUUCAUUUUAAAAUCAAAACUUAGCAUUUUUCAUAGAAUUUUAUAUUUAAGCUUUUCGGCUAACCGAACUGCGCAAGCAAAUCGAGGAAACUCUAACUGUGGUUUUCAAGGCCUAGGAGACACAGAAUUCAAUUAAAAAUAGGUGAUGACCUCUUUGGGUCGUCAUAUUCUACACCUCUAAAACUUACGUUCGCCCUCGAACGAACAGAAGAAAGAAGUACCUGAGUCGGGGAAAAGAUGAGGAUAACGGCUCCGCAUAUCGGACUCGGACUCCCAGGUCGAUGCCUUAGGAGGCUGACCUCUCCACUGAACACGAACAGAAGGAAAACUCUUCAACCUCAACUGACGAACCUGCCGGUCUAGGAUAGCCAUCAACUCCUCCUCAUAAGACAAGUCCUUGUCUAAUUGGAUAGUGCUAAAAUCUAACACAUGGGAUGGAUCACCAUGAUACCUCCGAAGCAUGGAUACAUGAAACACUGGAUGCACGGCUGACAAGCUCGACGGCAAUGCAAGUCUAUAAGACACCUCUCCCAAUCGAUCAAGAAUCUCAAUGGACCAAUGAACCUAGGCUAAUCUUGUCCUUCUUCCCAAAUCUCCUCACACCCUUCAUAGGUGAGACUCGGAGCAAUACCCGCUCAACAACCAUAAAAGCCACAUCUCGAACCUUGCGGUCUGCAUAACUCUUCUGCCUGGACUGAACUGUAUGAAGCCAACCGUGAAUGAUCCUGACCUUGUUCAAGGCCUCCUAAACCAGAUUCGUACACAGCAACCGAGCCUCUCCCGGCUCAAAUCAUCAGACCGGGGAUCGACAUUGCCUACCAUAUAGAGCCUCAUAAGGAGCCAUCUGGAUACUCGAUUGAUAGAUAUUGUUGUAUGCAAACUCUGUUAAAGGUAAAAACUGAUCCCAUGAACCUCCAAAGUCAAUUACACAAGCUCGGAGCAUAUCCUCCAAAAUUUGAAUAGUUCGCUCCGACUAACCGUCCAUCUGGGAAUGAAAUUUUGUGCUGAACUCAACCCGUGUACCCAACUCUCGCUGAACUGCUUUUCAGAAGCACGAGGUAAACUGCGUACCCUGAUCCAAAAUGAUAGAUACAGGCACACCAUAAAGGCUAACAAUCUCUCGAAUAUAGAUCUCAGCUAACCUCUCAGAAGAAUAGGAGAAUACCACAGAAAUAAAAUGCGCUAACUUGGUCGGCCUAUCAACAAUAACCCAAACUGUGUCGAACUUCUUCUGAAUUCUCUGAAACAAACCACCAGGCCUCUAAUGGUCAUACUUAACUUGCUGACAAUCCAAACACCGAGCCACAAAUGCAACAAUAUCCUUCUUCAUUCUACGCCACUAAUAAUGUUUUCACAAGUCCUGAUACAUCUCCGCGACGCCCGGAUGAAUAGAGUACUUGGAGCUAUGGGCCUCCUCUAAAAUCAACUCUCGAAGCCCAUCCACAUUAGGUACACAAACUCGCCCAUGCAAUCUCAAAACUCCAUCAUCAUCUAAGGUAACCUGCUUGGCAUCUCCACGCUGCAUCGUGUCUCUAAGGACACACAAAUAAGGAUUAUCAAAUUGUCGAUCAUGGAUACGCUCCAAAAGUGAAGAACGAGCGAUCGUGUAAGCUAAUACUCGACUAGGCAUAGAAAUAUCCAACCUCACAAAUCUAUUGGCCAAAGCCUGAACAUCCAAAGCAAGCAGCCUCUCACUGACCAGAAUGUAAGCAUGACUGCCCAUACUAGCUGACUUUCUACUCAAGGCAUCGGCCACCAUAUUGGCCUUUCUAGGGUGAUAUAAGAUAGUGAUAUCAUAAUCCUUCAAUGACACCAACCACCUCCUCUGCCUCAAAUUCAACUCCUCUUGCUUGAAUAAAUACUUAAGCCUCUUGUGGUCAGUGAACACCUCACAUGCCAUGCCAUACAGAUAGUGCCUCCAAAUGUUCAAUGCGCGCAAAAAUGGUUGCCAACUCUAAUUCAUGAACCAAAUAGUUCUUCUCAUGAAUAUUCAACUACCGUGAAGCACUUGCCAUCCUGUAUCAACACUACCCCAAGGCCAAUACGGGAAGCAUCACAAUAAACUGUAUAAGGUCCUAAACCUGUGGGCAAAACAACACCGGUGCCGUAAUCAGAGCUGUCUUGAGCUUCUGAAAGCUCGUCCCACACUCAUCCGACCAUCUAAACUGGGGACCCUUCUAGGUCAACCUGGUCAUCGGAGCUGCAAAAGAUGAAAACCCCUCUACAAACCGAUAAUAGUAGCCUGCCAAUCCCAAGAAACUCCGAAUCUCUGUAGCUGAUGCUGGUCUAGGACAGUUCUUCACUGCCUCAAUCUUCUUUGAAUCCAUUUGAAUACCCUCUGCUAAGACAACAUGACCCAGAAAUGCAACUGAACUCAACCAGAACUCACACUUCGAGAACUUAACAUAUAACAGACUAUCCCCCAGAGUCUGAAGAACCACCCUGAGAUGUUGCCCGUGUUCCUCUAGGCUGCGGGAAUAUAUCAGAAUAUCAUCAAUAAAGACUAUCACGAGUGAAUCCAAAUAGGGCCUGAACACUCGAUUCAUCAAGUCCAUAAAAGCUACUGGGCAUUUGUCAACUCGAAUAACAUAACCAAGAACUCAUAAUGCCCGUACCAAGUACAGAAAGCUGUCUUAGGGACAUCGAAUGCCCUAAUCCUCAAUUGAUAGUAGCCAGAUCUCAAGUCAAUCUUGGAAACUACCUUGGCACCCUGAAGCUGAUUGAACAAAUCAUCAAUCCUUGGCAGCAGAUAUUUGUUCUUGAUUAUUACCUUGUUCAACUUCUGGUAAUUAAUGCACAUUCUCAUCGAACCAUCCUUUUUCUUAACGAACAACACUAGCGCACCCCAAGGAGAUACACUGGUUCUAAUGAAACACUUCUCAAGCAACUCGUGUAACUGUUCCUUUAACUCUUUCAACUUAGGCGGGGCCAUACGAUAUGGUGGGAUAGAAAUAGGCUGGGUGCCCGGAGCCACAUCAAUGCAAAAGUCAAUAUCCCUGUCGAGAGGCAUACCCGAGAGAUCUGAAGGAAAAACAUCAAGGAACUCACGAACAACAGGCACAUAAUCGAUAGAAGAGACAUCAACACUAGAAUCAUGAACAUAUGCCAAAUAGGCUAAACACCCUUACUCGACCAUACGUCGAGCCUUCACAUACGAGAUAACACUGUGGGUGGAAUUAAUAUGAGUCCAUCUCCACUCUAAACGAGGAAAACCCGGUAAAGCUAAGGUCAAAAUCUUGGCACAAUAGUUCAAGAUAGCAUGGUAAGGUGAUAACCAGUCCAUCCCCAAUAUAAUAUCAAAGUCAACCAUGUCUAAAAGCAACAAAUCUGCAUGAGUCUCAAGACCCCGAAUCACCACAAUACAAGAACAAUGGACUCAAUCAACCACAAUAGAAUCACCCACUGGUGUAGACACAUAAACAGGAACACCAAAUGCAUCACUAGGCAAGACCAAGUACGUGGCAAAAUAAGAUGACACAUAUGAAUAUGUAGACCCUGGAUCAAACAACACCGAAGCACCUCUAUCAAAAACCAGAACCAUACCUAUAAUAAUUGCAUCUGAAGCCUUAACCUCGAGCCUUGCCUGAAGAGCAUAACAUUAGGGCUAGGCCCCACAACUCUGAUCUACCUCUCUAGGACGACCUGUAGCUGGCUGGCCUCCACCUCUAGCACCUCUACCUCUCUCUCUAGUACCUCUACCCCACCUCUAGCUGGCUAGGUGGGCUGUGGAAUACCUGGAGCCUGAACCAUGGCACGGGAACCCUAAUGUUGAGAGCUAAUCGGUUCUCAAGGUCAAAACCUAGAAAUGUGACCCGAAUUACUACAAAUAUAACAGCCCUCGGCUGCUGAGACUGCUGGCCAUGUCGACCUUAAUGACCACCUCGAAAACUAUGAAGAGGCGAUGCACUGAUAGGAGCUGGUGGUGCACUAUAAGGCUGCUAAUCAGAAUAAUGCGUCUGAGAACCACGGCCACCUGGGGCACCGUGAGAAACCUGGAGUGCUGACUGGAAGGGCCUAGAAGGAUGGCCCUUAUCACACGAAUCUAUGCCUCUAGACGAUGCACCACUGAACCUGCCUGACCGACGGGGUCUCUUGUCUGCCCUAUGACCACCCCCAUGUGAUAAUAACAUCUCAACUCUCAGGGCCACUAGCCACCUCCUGGAAGGAUAUCUCACUCCUAGCCUCCCUAGCCAAUUAGAGACGAAUCGGCUGAAUGAACCCAUCAAUAAACCGUCUCACUCUCUCCCUCGUAGUGGGAAGUACCGUACUGGGUGACCGUCAUGGAACCCUGCUAGAGACGCUCGAGCUGUCUCCGAUAGGCCUCUCGUUGUGUAAUAGGGAGAAACUUCUCCAGAAAUAGCUGCGUGAACUGCUCUUAGGUGAAGGCUGCUAUCUUAAUGGUCUGGCUAAACAAUAAUCCCUCCACCAAGUCUUGGUAGAUCCAGACAAGCGAAAUGUAGCGAAAUCAACCCCAUUGGUCUCAACAAUACCCAUAUUCCGAAGAACCUCGUGUUAGUUGUCCAGAUAAUCCUGAGGAUCCUCAAUAGAUGCACCGCUGAAGGUAGUAGUGAAGAGUUUGGUGAAUCUGUCCAACCUCUACAAAGCAUCGAUAGACAUAGCUGCUCCAUCACCGGCCUGGUCUACCAUGCCCAGCUGAGCUGCUCCUACAGGCUGAAUUGUUGGAGUCUGAAUCUGGGGAGUUACCUGCUCCAGAGUGUGAGUAGCAAGAGUCUGGGCUCCUCCUCCAGCCUGAGAGACGGCUGGUGCUACUGGAAGUAAACCUGCUCUUGUGACCUGAGCUAGGCCCACCGGAACUGUUGGGGCUGGAACCCCAUCAUCAAAAAUCAACCUCAGGCUUCGCUACGGGUGCUGCUUCCCUAGGCUGAGCUUUGCCCCUGCCUCGGCCUCUAGAAUAACCCCGACCUCGCCCUAUGCCCCACAUAGGAUAUGCUAGGUGAUCUGACUACUGAUCGGUAGAUGAGGAAGCUCAUGUUCUUGCCAUCUGCAAAAAAAAUAAUAGAGUAGAAAUUCAAUUAGCGUUGAGAAACCAAACCACACGACAAGAAAGAACAAAUGUGAAAUUUUCCUAACUCUAUAGACUCUAUGGACUAAACAGACAUCUCCGUACCGAUCCUCAGACUCUACUAAGCUUGUCCGUGAAUUGUGAGACCUAUAUAACUUAAAGCUCGAUACCAACUUAUCACGACCUAGAUUUCCCACCCUCGGGGGUUGUGAUGGUGCCUACUCGUAGAAGCUAGGCAAGAAACUAAAUCAUAAACUCCUAACGCUUUCAUUUUAAAUACUUUUAUGAAUCAUAACAACAAGAGUUAAAUAUUUCAAUAACAGCGGGAUAUGAAAUUAAAGCGAAAGACUUAAACUAAAUAAGCUGAACGAACUGUAAAAAUAAACAUAUGCCUCUACCCAAGAACUGGUGUCACAAUAUCCAUGGACUACUAAGAGUACUAAAUACAACCGUUGGGAAGAAAUAUAACAGUGUUUGUCUCGAAUACAUGAGAUAACAGAAUGAAAUAUAAGCUACCACGGUGUCUCAGUGGACUGAAGGCUAGCUCCCGAGCUACUGCCUGCGCACCAAAUGCUACUCGGGAUCUGCACAUAGUGCAAAGUGUAGUAUCAGCACAACAGAGUGCACGUUCUUGUAAGUGCGUAGCCUAACCUCUAGUUACGCAUCUAGGCUAGACCAGACUACCACAUAAACUUGUGCAUAUAUAUAUAUAUAUAUAUAUAUAUAUAUAUAUAUANNNNNNNNNNNNNNNNNNNNNNNNNNNNNNNNNNNNNNNNNNNNNNNNNNNNNNNNNNNNNNNNNNNNNNNNNNNNNNNNNNNNNNNNNNNNNNNNNNNNNNNNNNNNNNNNNNNNNNNNNNNNNNNNNNNNNNNNNNNNUAUAUAUAUAUAUAUAUAUACAAUGGAAACAGAGAUACGGAGAUAACCAAUCAAUAUGGGAGGGGGAGCAUGAUAUGGGGAGAUAACAACUCCGAGUAAAAGUCAUCAAGUAAUGAAGAAAGCAACAUAACUCAGACAUCAACAAAGAAUCAGAAAUCAAUAAGUGCAUGGCAUCACUCUUCGUGCUUUAACACUCUUCCUCACCCAAACAACAAUCACAAACAAGGGGCAAGGGACUAAACAAAUAAUAAUAGAAAUCCCGGCAAGGGAACACAAUUAAACAGUUAAAUCCCGAAAAGAGAACAAUAUUAUAAUCUCAGCAUCCCGGCAAGGGAUAAAAUCAACAAAGUCACAAAACAUCCCGGCAAGGGAACAAUUUAAUAACUCUUUCUCUUUCUUUCGCUUUUACUUCACAACUCACUUUACCACUUGAGCCAAUGCUCCAAAGGAUUCAAUCAUCUCAUAUACUUUCUCAAUUCGUGUUACAACAUGAGCGAACGUAGUUCAAAGAUCACAAUUUCUUUCACAUGCUCUUUCAACAUAUAAAAAUCAUCAUUUAAGCAUGAAAAAUACAACAAAAUCACAAUUUGUAAUAUAACUCGAGCCAAUGCACCUCGAUGUUCAAAGGUCAUAAUUUUUUUUCACAAGCUUUUCACAACAUAUAGAAAUCAUCACCAAGGCAUGAAGGAAACAAUGAAAUCAUGAUAUUCACAAUAUAAAGACUCAAGAUCAUGCUAGACACCAACGUAUAGAUACUUAUCAACAUGCCUAUACAUCGUACUCAACAAUUAUCAAAUAGCAAAUAGGACUCAUCUGCUAAUCCCUCAAGCUAAGGUUAGACCAAACACUUACCUCGAACUUCCACGGCCAAUUAAAUCCCCAACAACCACCUUUCCUUUUGAAUUCGGCUCCAAAUCAAUUGUAUCUAUACAUAAAUGAUUUCAUAACAUCAAAUAAUGCUAAACAAUUCGAAUCCAAUGCCUAAUUAUAGCUUUCCAAUCACUCUUCCCAAAAACCCAAAACUCGACCCCGGGCCCGCUUAGUCAAAGCGCGAGGUUCAGACCAAAAUCAACUCCCCCAUAUACCCACGAGUCCAAAUAUAUAAUUAUUUCUAGAAUUCGACCCCAAAAUGAGUUCUAAAUUACCACUAAUCAAAAAGCCCUAGUUCUAUCAAAAUCCAUAAUUCUCUACCCUUAAUUAAAUGUUUUAGGCCUAGAAUUCUAGUAGGUGUUGAUGGAAAAUGAAGAAAAUAAGUUGAACAAUGCUUACCCAAGAAACUUUGGUGAAGAAGUGCUUUAAAAACCGCCUAGGAGAUUUGGAGAAGAAAGGGUUUAUGAAAAUUUUAUAAAAUCCCGUUUUUGGUUCUGUUUAAAUGACUAGGCAAAAUGCUCUAUGCGAUCGCAAAAAAGCCUAUGUGAUUGCAUAGGUUUGACACUCUUGACUUAUGCAUUCACGAGCUAAGGGCCGCGUUCACAUAAGGUUAAAACUACCCGGCCCCAGACCCAUCUCCUAUUCUAUGCGUUCGCGACUAACUCCGUGCAUUCGUGUAGAGAAAUUCCCCAAAGCUCCACGUUCACACUCAGGUCCAUGUGUUCGCAUAGUGCAAACCUACCCCCUUCCUUGUUUGUGCGUCGCAUUCGCAUAGAUGACCAUGUGUUCGCAUAGAGUAAAAGCCUGGGCACCAAAAUACAACAGAAAAUAUCAGAUUUCUAAGUCUAAAAUUAUUCCGAAACACACCAGAGCCCUCGGGGCUCCUAACCAAACACAUUUACUAACUCAACAACAUCAUACGAACUUAUCAGUGCGAUCAAAUACCCAAAAUAACCUCAAAAAUAAUGAAUUAAACCUCAUAAUCAAGAACUUUUCUCUCAAACUUCAUCAAGUUACAAAUAUAGAAAUUCAAGUCUGAAUCGCGUCAACGACGUCCGUUUUUAACGAAAUUUUACAAAAAGGACUUAAACCAUAUAAAAGAUCUGUACCGGGCAUCGGAACCAAAAAAUACAGGCCCGAUAUCAUCGCUUUCUAAUCCUAUUUUCAUUUCAGUUUUCCUUAAAAAUUUUCAGAAAACAAUUUUAUAGAAAAAUUUGUUUCUCGGGCUUGGACCUCGUAAUUCGAUUCAGGGCAUAUGCCUAAGUCCCAUAUUUUCUACGGACCCUCCGAGAUCGUCAAAUCACGGGCCCGGUUCCGCUUUCCCAAAAUAUUGACUGAAGCCAAAUUUAUUCAUUUUAAAAUCAAAACUAAGAAUUUUUCACAGAAUUUCAUAUUUAAGCUUUCCCGCUACGCGCCCGGACUGCACACGUAAGUCAAGAUAACUCUAAAUGAGGUUUUCAAUGCCUCGAAAACACAUAAUUCAAUUAAAAACAAGUGAUGAACCCUUUAGGUCGUCACAAAUAGAUUCUACAAAUAUUUAUAAUCACAAAAAAGUUUAUACGUGUUACGCUAUUGAAUAUAUAUUUCAAUGAAAAAAAUUCAAAAUCUAUACCUAACCUUUCCCAGUAUUAGUGACACUCUCAAUUUCAUCAUCUAGAUGUGGAUCUCUAAAUACGCUUUCAUACUAAACUUCUGCAUGCACAUCCAUAUCAUUACGUUCAUCACCACCUGACAGUAAGCAAACCACAAUAAUGAUCAUAAACUCCAUCUUUGGUAAUUAGAACACUAGAUUCUCUCUAUGUGUUCCUUUCAUCAGUAUCAAACUUUGAUCCUAGAUUUUCUUUAAAUCCUGAGAAAGAAACUAAGUUAUAAAGUUAAGGACAGACAGUCCUAAACUUCAGGUUACAAGUAAAGAAGUUAAGGACAGACAGUCCUUAACUUAGAGUAACAAGUUUAAAAUUUAAGGACAUGCAGUCCUUAACUUUGAACUCCAAGUUAAAAAGUUAAGAACACUUGGUCCUGAACUUCAACUUUCAAAUUAAAAAGUUAAGGACACUUGGUCCUGCACUUCCAAUUUCAAAUUCAAAAGUUCAGGACAGACGGUCCUCAACUUAAACUUACAGGUUCAAAAGUAAAGGACGCUUGGUCCUAAACUUCAAGUCGUAAGUUCAGAAGUUAAGGAUACAUGGUACUAAACUUCAAGUUUUAAGUUCAAAAGUUAAGGACAGACAGUCCUUAACUUAUAGUUUUAAGUUCAAAAGUUAAGGACACUUGGUCCUAAACUUCAAGUAUUAAGUUCAAAAGAUAAGGACAAGCAGUCCUUAACUUAUAGUUUUAAGUUCAAAAGUUAAGGAUACAAGUUCCUGAACUUAGACUAACUGAAAUUAAUGAUAUUACCAUGAUUUCAUUCUCUGAUACAGCUAUUUUCUGAUUUACUCUAGUAACUUCAGCUUACAGUUCCUUUUAAAAACUCUCUGAUAAUCUCUAAAUCAAAAACAAAAAAACAAAAAAGUCUUAUAAGCAAAAAAUAAUCAAAUAAAAUACUAAUAAUGCUAUUCAAAGGCAGAAAACCUACUUUAAUAAUUUCCUUAAGCAUUGCUUCAUCAAAUUGUGUGGAAGAAGGCAUUGAACUUUCAUCUUGAGAAAUUGGCUCUUCCAUACAUGAAUGAUGACACCUCGAUCAACUUAUAAAACUAUUAUAUAACAAAAAAUAAGCAUAAGUUUUCAGAACUAAAACAAAUAAACAAAAAAAUAUCCAGUAAUUAGAUUAACUUGCAUUUUUAUUAUGGAAGUAUUUUUUACACAGAGGAUCAUACAGUAGAGAUUUCGUUUCUGAAUAAUAUAAUAUCUGAGGAUGAGUAUAGCCACAUUCUUGGAAGUUCACAAAUUAAUUUUCCUGGAGAAUAGGAAUUACUUCCAUAAUACAAACACAAAAGGCAAAACGAAAGCCAAGUAUAGUAUAGUUAUCAUUGUCUUUAUCUUUGUCUUUCUCAUUCUUAUUCUCAUUCUCAUUGGGCUUCAAAUAACCCUUCAAUGAUUUUAAUUAUGUUUCAUAAGAAAGAGAGCCCCACUUGAAAGAAGAGCAGAGUUCAUCAUCAUCUACAAUUUUCAUUAUCUACUCAGACACAUCCUAUUCUUUCGCUUCCCCAUCAAAACAAAUUCAAUAAAAUAAAUUGUUGCCAACUUCACAGCAUCAUCAUCGCUGCCUGCAAAUGAUGCAGAUGUACCAUGUGGGUAACUGGUAAUAAAAUUAAACAAAUCACGCAACUCAACUCUAUCCUUUCCGGGAAAAUAGACUUUCGAAAGCUUAUUCUCUUUUUCAUGCAAAUCUUUGAUGUCCGGUGAGGAGUAACACUUCAAACCAGUAAUUAUAUGAAAUGUUUCACGUGUAAAAUUAAUUUCACGGUCAAAAACCUUGAAUGUUAUCAAAUCAUGGUCAUUAUUUACAAUUUCUGAAAGCAAUACACAGUGAAUAAGUUUAUCACAGAACUUUCCACUUUGUAAUCGGAAAAAAAUUUCCGAAAAUACCAUCUCUCAACUUCUUCCACUACCUGUUUGACAAAUUUUUUUGAUUAUUUCCUUAUACUAUAAAUAUCCUUUCCAAUAGAUCGUAAAAUUAUGCCAAACAUCAAACUCGAACACACGAUCUCCUUCCAUUAUCACACUACAAAGAAGGAAAAAGAACAUAAAGAUUAGGAUUUAUAGUUACAACUUGAAAAGUUCGAGGAACUUGGUCCUUAACUUCAAGUUUCAAGUAAAAAAGUUAAGAACAUGUAGUUCUUAAUUUAAAGUUUUAAGUUUAAAAGUUAAGGACAAUAGGUCAUGAACUUCAAUUUCAAGUUCAAAAGUUAAGAACACUUGGUCCUUAACUUAAGUUUCAAGUUAAAAAGUUAAGGACAUGCAGUACUUAACUUAUAGUUUCAUGUUGAAAAGUUAAGGACACUUGGUCCUUAACUUCAAGUUUCAAGUUCAAAAGUAAAGGACACUUGGUUCUUAACUUUGAAUUUCAAGUUCAAAAGUUAAGGACACUUCUGAACUUUGACUUACAAGUUCAAAAGUUAAGGACACUUGUCCCUUAACUUAGAGUUACAAGUUAAAAAGGUAAGAACAGGAAGUCCUUAUCUUAUAGUUUCAAGUUGAAAAGUUAAGGACAUUUAGUCCUGAACUUCAACUUUCAAGUUCCAAAGUUAAGGACGAUUGGUCCUUAACUUCAAAUUUCAAGUUGAAAAUUUAAGGACACUCAGUCCUUAACUUUGAGUUCCAAGUUCAAAAGUUAAUGUCGCUUGGUCCUUAACUUUUAUUAACACAGUUAACUAAAAAUUCAUAAACAUAGUUAGCUUAUGAAUUCAUACGGCUAUUUUAUGAAAUGUCCUUACAUAAUCAAAUAUAUUGAUUGAACCACAAAUACAUUUCAAUACAAAAAAAAAUUUCAAUAACAGCCUCACAAAAUACGCUACUUAUUUGACACUGAAUCAACUUAUAAUCAUUAUUUUUAAAAUUUAACACAUACUUGACAUAACAUUGAUCGAGAUUACAUAUAUACAAAAACAAAAAUGCAUAAAAGCAAAAAAUAAAAAAUAAAAAAAAUACCAGUUCGAUCGUUCGAUGAAGAUGAAGAAGGAGAAAGAUUAAGUGUAGCUGGUUUGCAUGCGAGGACGAUACAGAUGAGGAGCACGCGAAACUGCCUGAAAUUUUCACUCUCAAAUUUUCCCUUUUCUGAAUGAAUAAAACAAAGGUUUAGGAAUAUAAGAAUUAAAGAAAGGGUAAAACUGUCUUUUUGCUAUUAGUAAUGGCUAUUUUUGCUGAGCAUUAUAAUUAGUGGAUAAAAAAUAAAGAUCAUCUUAGUUAAUAGCUACCACACACCAUUUUACACGGCUUUCAUAGUCAUGGAUCGUAGUAGUAAUAUUUUUCGAAUACGAUGAAGACAAAAUGUAGUAUUUUAUGGAAGAUAAAAUGACCAAAUCUUGAUAGAAAAUGAUCGAGUAACUAACUUGUAGUCACUGGCAUUAGGUAAAGGAUAAUGAGAAAUUUUCAUAAAAUAUUAUUUUAGUAAUAAUUAGUCAUCUAUAUAUACUAGUUUCUAUAUUACGGAUUAUAGAUAUUUUUUAUUUGGUUAUAAUAUGUAUUUGAUGUAUUUAAGCUAUUGUAUUCAUGAAUACAUCAGCAAAAAUAGGUGUGGAUCAGGGAAGUCCAGCUAAUCAGUUAUUGUAUUCCAGUUUAUUCAAUUGUACUCAUGGAGUGAAACAUGGAUUUAUAGCUGAAAAGAUUAUUGUAUUCGACUGUAUUCAGGGCGUGAAAUAGGAGAUGACACUGUUUUUAAAAGGAAAAGUGAAUCAAUUAACGUAAUAGACUCCUAAUAUAACUCAACAAACUCAAUUAUAACACACAAAUUUUGUAUUUUCAGUUAUAAAAAGGAUUUUCAACCGAAAAAUACCCCAAAAACAUAUCAAUCUGCAGAGAAAUUAUACUAAUUAUCACACAAAUAUUGUAUUUUCAGUUAUAAAAAGAUUUCCAACCGAAAAAUAACUCAAAAACAUAGCAAUCUUCAGAGAAAUUAUAUAAUACAUAUGAAUACAUAAAUUAUAUUAAUUAAAAAACUUAUGAAUACAUUCAUGGCAUAUAGCGAGACAAUGAAUACAAUAAAAAAAGACAAUGAAUACCAUGAAAUACAUGAAAAUACAUUGACAUAUAUUAACAGAAAAUCAUCCUACAAUAUCCAUAUCUUAAUUUUUUCAAUUGGCAAGGCGAUAUUCACGAUGCUAGUGGAGCCAACUUAUAAAGCAAUGAGGAACGAAUUUAGGAGGAGAAUGGGAAGGAAAACGACAGUGACAAGCCUUGACGGAUUCGAUAUUUGCUACACAGUCCCCAUUAGAAUUCCAACAAUAAUGUCGAUGUUUGUGGGCAUGAAACGCUGCCACAAGACAACUUCUUGAUCCAUAACAGAGAAGAAAUCAAUUAAUGGAGGAUCUGGCACUUGCUACUAAAUUCUAAUAGAAUCGAUCCAAAAAAAGGGGUAGUUAGAAAUCUACAAAGCUAAACGGUAAAAACAUACUCGGUAAUUGCCUUAUCCUAUCAUUUAGUUUUCUACUCAUAUAUAUAGUGAUCCGCUCUUCAGGUGUCUUCCUUUAUUGCUUUCUUGCCUCUUAAAGGAAUUGGCUGGUUUGGGGACCAAUCCAGGUAUAUUGGUUACCUCCGUAGUAGAGAAGGAAUCAAUUAAUGGAGGAUAUUGACUUCUUGCUAACAAUUCUCCUACUACAAUGGAGGAUAUCGACGGAGGAGAAAUCACAAGCGAACUAGACAGAGAAGAGGAAGAGUAUCAGAAAUUUUAAUAAGAUGGUAGAAGAGAAUGGGAUGUAUCAAAAUAGAGAUAGAAAGAAAUGUUGUAACUGAUUAGUGUAUUUAGUGGCUUAACGCUAGGAAGUAACCAAAAUGAAAUAUUUGGCUAUAAAUCUUAAAAGGCAUCUAUAGAAUAUAACUUUUUUAAAUAAUAUUUAUUUAAAUAUAUAAGGUGUUAAUAUUUUCUAUAGGAGGUAAAAUUAUCAAAAAUAAUAGUAUUAUCAUUUGUCAUUUCCUAAUACGAUAAGAAAUCUAAGAAGCACAACAAAAGAAAGCUCUUGAACGCAAAAAAAUAAAAAAAAUUAAGAGAUAUAUGUAUAGAUAUAAGUUAUAUUUUCUUCACCUUUGCUUGAAGAUGAGGUUCAUCCAAUGAAAAGCGAAAAACAUAACAUACCUAUCAAUUAAAAAAUGAGAGAAAAUUAAGCAGUUGUUCUCAUUUGGUUACUUAUUAACUAGUAGGAUACUAUAUCCCAUUUGGUUAUUAACUGAUAGCAGGGUUUUAUUUGUCGGUGAUUAUUAUAUCUUCCAUUUAUUUUGUAUUUUUUAUAUUGCUGUUAUUUUAUUAUGAUUCUAUUGAUAGUACUAAUAUAUUUAUUGUUGUUGCUUUUUUGAGCCGAGGGUUUCUUGGAAACAGUCUCUCUAUCCCUCGAGGUAGGGAUAAGGUCUGGAGACAUAUUACUCUCCCCAGACCUCAUUUAUAAAAUUAUACCGAGCCGUUGUUAUUGUUAUUGAUACUAUAUCCCAUAUUUUGUUCCUUUGUUAGUUAUGUUCAGAUAUAUUCAUGAAAAAUCACAAUAAGGUACAAGCUUUGGCCACCAUAUUAAUUGAUGCUUCUGAUUAAUUGAACUAAAGAAAUUGUCACUAUCACACCUUUUGUUAUCAAGAAUGUCACUUCACUUUAAAACUGCAUUUAGACACAUGACAUCCGGGAUAGAGCUAGAAAUUUGAGCACGGAUUCUGUUGAACCCAAUCGUUUUUACUCAAAUAAUUUAUUAUUAAAAAUAUAUAUUAAAUAAUUAUAAAUAUUAAUUUUAGAACCCAAUUAUGUACUUGAAGUCAUUAUUUUAAGAUUCAAUUCCAUAAAAUUAAAAUUUUAGCUUCACCUCGGCGUGAAAUUGAUGUUUCCAUCAUCUUUCACUCAUAGGCCACAUUUAAAUUUGAUAGAUACAUGCAAAUUUAUUAUAUAAUUUCAUCCUUAAUUAACACGUAAACGAGGAGAAAAGUUCUGAAUCAAUAAAAUAUCCUAAACGAGAGAUCAAAAUAGUGGAUAAGCACAUAAUCAAUGAAUCUCUUUCAUACUUGCAACAAAGAAUGGUGUAUAUAAGUAGCUAGUUAUUUGAGUAAUCCACUUGGAAUAUGUAUAUUUAUCAUUAGAUGAAAACCACAUAACAAUGAGUUGGGUAAGCAUGUUUAUCAUUAAAUGAAAAAUAAUACAGCUUUUUAUACAAGUAGCUGAUAGGAUUUACUGUUUAUAAUCUAACUGGUAUAACAACAACAACAAUAACAACCCAGUAUAAUCUCACUUAGUGGGGUCUGGGGAGGGUAGUNNNNNNNNNNNNNNNNNNNNNNNNNNNNNNNNNNNNNNNNNNNNNNNNNNNNNNNNNNNNNNNNNNNNNNNNNNNNNNNNNNNNNNNNNNNNNNNNNNNNNNNNNNNNNNNNNNNNNNNNNNNNNNNNNNNNNNNNNNNNNNNNNNNNNNNNNNNNNNNNNNNNNNNNNNNNNNNNNNNNNNNNNNNNNNNGCUGUUUCCAAAUAGACCUCCGGCAUCCUUCCCUCCAAGAACUUCUCACCUUGCUCUUGGGAAGACUCGAACUCACAAGCUCUCGGUUGGAAGUCAUACAUAAUUAUAUAUAGAGCUAUUAAUAUGUGUCAGUACAUACGGGUCUUGGCAUUUAACGAGAUGGGCUUGAUCGACCUUUUGAAGGGUCUUAAAUUGGUUACCCUAGCUCAAUCCUACGUGGGUUGCGAAUCCCCAUGGGCCGGCUCACUAUUUUUUAGAAAUAUUUAUCAUACUUAUUUAACUUAAGCUCUAACCUAAUAAUCUAAAAAAAAUAUUUACAAGUCAAAUAAUAUAUUGUUAGACAGAAAGUUUCUACAAAACUUAAUAACUUUUGACAUUGUUCCAAUAGAGUACAAUGAAACUCAGGAAAAAAAAGGAUAAUAUUUUAUUUAUUAAAAUCAAAUCAAACUACUCAAUUAAACUUAUGGCAUAUCUAACGCUGCUACAUUAUAUUCAUCAAGUGCAUUUGAAUUCGUGACAACAAAAUUAAGAGAGAAAAAGGAAAUCAUACAUACCACUAUAAAAUUGAAAGAGAGUAAAUAAUGCUGCUACUAUUUAGGGUUUAUGAAAUCUGGGAUUUUAUUAUUCAUUUUAUUAUUUUAUUUUACUUCACUUUAUGCUUAAAAUUUUGAAAUUUAAAACUUCGUUCUUUUAAUGUGAUGAGCGCAAUAGACUAUAAUUUUGGGCUACUUUUCUUGUUAUUUUUAAUUUAUAGUUCCUUUUAAUUUUUAAUAUAUUUAAUUAAAUAGUUUUCAUUAGGCCUACGGGCCAACCUAUUCCAACCUAGGUCAAGACUCACAGGUCCCAAGCUUACUUUGGCCUCCUCUUGAAUAGGCUCCAAAAAUCAUAGUCUGGCCAUACUGAAUCACGGACCCCGUGGGCCUGCACAUUGGCCAAUAUUGAUGACUCUAUUUAUAUACAUAAUAUACAUAAAUUAUAUAUAUAUAAAUUAUUUUUAAUUUAAACGAUUGAACGAAUUAUUAUUUAUAUAAUUCUUCAAAAUAGGAAUAAUAUUGAGUUGAGUGAUCACUUACCUAGCUAGUCAUACUUCAUAUGUAUCAUCAUAAUAUAAAAUAGUACCACAAUGUCCAUGAUUUUUUUUUUUACACUUGUGUGACUUGUGCAUGCAAAUAAUUCAAAUUAUUUCAUUUUCAACAAAAUGUCCACUUUGCAUUGGACAAAAUCCUUUCCAAAAGCAUCCAGUAUCUUCUAAAGUUUAGCCAUAUUAAUGUCCUUACCAAUUUGGAUAGGAUAUGAAAUAAUGGUGAUAAUAAAAUAACAUAAUAUCAGAAGGAAAAACAAAAUAGAAAACAUUUUUUAUAGUUAAAGAUUUGUUAUGUUGUGCUUGUGAAAGGUGUAAAUAGCACGGUAUAAUUAAUUUUUGGAUUGGUUAUUCAAAAAUAAGCAGCGUUUAUAAAGUCAAUGAAAAAUAGCCAUUAUUUUGCUGUAAUAGAGACUGGUCCAACAUAAUAUACUGGAGUUCAGUGCACCUAUAUAUGAACUCCAGCAUAUUAUGCUGGACCAGUAUACUUUGCCGGCUCCAGUAUAAUAUACUUGAGACUGGAGCAUCGGUGCCCCAAACUCCAGUAUAUUAUGUGUAUACUUGUUGGAACUCCAGUAUAUUAUGCUGGAGUUCUAGUGUAUUUGUACUGGAAAUACUUAUCCUAGAACUCAGGUAUAAUAUAUUGGAGUUCAAGUAUACAUAUGCUGGAACUCCAGCAUAAUAUACUGGCGUAUUUUCCAGGUUUUGAACAGUAUUUUCACUCAAAUUUAUUUUUAUAUAAAAAGUGACUAAAUUUUUAUUAUUUUUAAAAAUGAUGCUUUUUAAACGAUCAUUUAUAAAUCUGACCAUUUUUUAAUUUCACCCUUGUGAAAGCCUUGAAAGAUUAUAUCUUUGAUUUGAGAAGCAUCUCAAAAUAGUGCAUUGUCCUUCUUUUUUUUAUAAAUAGUAAUUUCUGUUAGAAUAUAUGCUUAACGCUAGAGGGGGGGUGAAUAGCGUUAUAAUAAAAUUUGCGGAAUUUAAAAUCAAGUUNNNNNNNNNNNNNNNNNNNNNNNNNNNNNNNNNNNNNNNNNNNNNNNNNNNNNNNNNNNNNNNNNNNNNNNNNNNNNNNNNNNNNNNNNNNNNNNNNNNNNNNNNNNNNNNNNNNNNNNNNNNNNNNNNNNNNNNNNNNNNNNNNNNNNNNNNNNNNNNNNNNNNNNNNNNNNNNNNNNNNNNNNNNNNNNNNNNNNNNNNNNNNNNNNNNNNNNNNNNNNNNNNNNNNNNNNNNNNNNNNNNNNNNNNNNNNNNNNNNNNNNNNNNNNNNNNNNNNNNNNNNNNNNNNNNNNNNNNNNNNNNNNNNNNNNNNNNNNNNNNNNNNNNNNNNNNNNNNNNNNNNNNNNNNNNNNNNNNNNNNNNNNNNNNNNNNNNNNNNNNNNNNNNNNNNNNNNNNNNNNNNNNNNNNNNNNNNNNNNNNNNNNNNNNNNNNNNNNNNNNNNNNNNNNNNNNNNNNNNNNNNNNNNNNNNNNNNNNNNNNNNNNNNNNNNNNNNNNNNNNNNNNNNNNNNNNNNNNNNNNNNNNNNNNNNNNNNNNNNNNNNNNNNNNNNNNNNNNNNNNNNNNNNNNNNNNNNNNNNNNNNNNNNNNNNNNNNNNNNNNNNNNNNNNNNNNNNNNNNNNNNNNAACUUAAUCAAAGAUUGGCUCUCAAAAAUAAUGAAUUUAGAAUGAAAAUGAUUGCAAUUGUAAUAUGUAAACUUUGACAGAUUUUAGCUCAGUUGUUGUAUUUAGAAGAGUGUUUCAGGGGUGUAUUUAUAGGAUAAAAAGAGUAUCAAACCGUUGCCUAAUUGUCAAACAAAAUCCCUGAAAUUGUGCUGUGACAAUCGAUUGUCAGGUAUUUACAAUCGAUUGUCUGACCAUUUUUCAAAAGACAACUUUUUAGCAGAAAAUCGUUUGUUUGAAAAUCUGUAAGUCAACAAUCGAUUGUUGGAAGACCACAAUCGAUUGUGGUUCAUAUUUUCAAAAUAUUUCGGUCAGUUAUUUGAAAAAUGGCAGAUUUGUGUGAUCAAAAUUCAACAAACAAAUCCCUGAUUGAAGGAGUGAUUUACUGAACAAUAAUUUAGUUUAGGACUUUUGUAAAACGGAUUUGUAAAUAAUUUUCAACCACCAAAUCUUGACUUUUAAGAUUGAAAAUAUGUUUUUAGAAAUCCGAACCUUCAACAAUCGAUUGUCAAACUCUCACAAUCGAUUGUUGGCUUAUUGAGAUUUAUUGUAAAAAAUAUGUUUUUGGAAAUCUGAAGCUUCAACAAUCGAUUUUUAAAUCCUCACAAUCGAUUGUUGGCUUAAUAAAAGCCUUUUUAACACAUUGCCUCCUUGACAAUCGAUUGUUGGCUUAAUGAAAACUUUUGGUAACAUACUGCCUCACUGAAAAUCGAUUGUUGAACCAUGACAAUCAAUUGUUGAACCAUAAAAGCUUAAUUUUGAAAGUUCCGGUGUUCAAAGCUUUGGCAACGGUCGANNNNNNNNNNNNNNNNNNNNNNNNNNNNNNNNNNNNNNNNNNNNNNNNNNNNNNNNNNNNNNNNNNNNNNNNNNNNNNNNNNNNNNNNNNNNNNNNNNNNNNNNNNNNNNNNNNNNNNNNNNNNNNNNNNNNNNNNNNNNNNNNNNNNNNNNNNNNNNNNNNNNNNNNNNNNNNNNNNNNNNNNNNNNNNNNNNNNNNNNNNNNNNNNNNNNNNNNNNNNNNNNNNNNNNNNNNNNNUUUCAAUAAUAACUCACAUAUAUUUUGGCAUAUAUUAUUUUCCAUCUAAAUUGGUUUGUCAAUUAUCAAAACAUAUAAUUAUGAACAUACAUAUGUUCCAACAAUUUCCAUUUCAUCAAUAAAUCAGAAUAAUACAGGUUUUACCAGCAGCCACUGACUAGCUACUGUUUCCACUCAAUCUAAUAUGAAUUCACUCCCAAACGCUAUAUAUACAUUAAAUUUCAAGAACAUUUAAUUCUUUCCGUCUUUCCCUAUGGGUAGUGAUCCAGUCUUCUCAAAGCAAUCUUCUAGUUUUUAAGUGAGGUUUCUUAUGUAUGCACGUGAACUGCUAUCUCUUUGCAUGUAUCAUUUAUAACUACGCUUCCGCCUUGGAACCUAAUCUUGUUCCUUUCUCGCCAGAGACAGUAUACCAACAUUCCAAACACACUAGUGGUUAUUUCAGCAUGUACAUUUCUCCUUUUUGCAAUGUUGUUUAUCCAUUCUAUUUCAUUGUUCCAAUCACAAAUGGUUCUCUAGUAUCCCAGCCAUAUGAGCAAUCUAUUCCAUAACCCCCAGCAAUAUUGCUAAUCCAUUCUAUUUCAAUAUUCCAAUUACAAGUGGUUCUCGGGUAUCCCAGCCAUAUGAGCAAUCUAUUCCAUAACCCCUAUGAUGUCGGACAAGUAAAAAAUAGAUGGUCAAAAGAUUCAUCUACUUGCUUGCAGAAUACACAUUGUUGCGGANNNNNNNNNNNNNNNNNNNNNNNNNNNNNNNNNNNNNNNNNNNNNNNNNNNNNNNNNNNNNNNNNNNNNNNNNNNNNNNNNNNNNNNNAUACAUAUUCACGCCUCUUCCCAAAGUGCAUUAGCCGCUCCACUGUUGCCAGUCUUCUGCGCAAAGCUAGCAAGACGAUAAGUUUGAAUCUUGGGUGUAGUUUUGGCUGCAGUACUAUACUUUUUCAUUGUACUUUUGGGGUUUGAGGGAGCUGGAGUCUGUAGAGCUUGUUGAUGUUGAACAGUUCUCCCCUCUGUAGCUAGAUCAAUCGACAUUUCAGGUCCCCCUGUAUACCCUGAAGACUUGUUAUCAGUGAUCUGGUUUCAAAUAUCUUCCUCACAGCCCAGGCUACUAUUUUAGGUGUUGGUACAUCCUGAACAGGUUUAUUCUUAAUGUAGUAUGUGUGCACCCAUUUGAUCCAUAGGUUGACUGCUGUUUUAGGAGUUGGUACAUUGUCCUUUUGAUUUAUAUUAUCACAAGAAUCCCAAGUUUAAAGUAAUAACAAAAUAGGCCCAUAACCCAUACCCCACCAACUAUAUUUUGGGCCUAUUCAUCUGUCGUUAAUGGGCUCAUUUCCUCUUUUUUAUUUAGGGAUUUUUACAUAUCUAUACCAUAUAGCAAACCUUAUUACCUUCCAUGUUUAAGGUUUGUAUUUAUUACAUUUAAGCAUACCAAAUUUUUAUUUAUGUACCAUAAUUCAAAUUAAGGGUAUAAUUAUUGUUUCACUUAUUCUAGGCAUAAUUUUAGGAGCAUAUAUUCACUUUAUUUUAUUUAUCCGCCUCUCUCUCCUCCCAUCCCCCACGAUUUUUCAACUAAUUUAAAUUCAGGAGGCCUGGGAAAAUAUCGAUGAAGGUAACUUUGCAUGACCCCACCUUGAUUUAUAUACAUUAUAUAUGAUAAUUCGUACUGCUUUCAAAACAAGAAGAGUCAAAUAUUAUACUGCUAACGUUUUAAUCUUUAUUUUGGGGUGUUUAGACCACUUUCAAAGUUCAGUUGUGUAACCCGUUCUUAGUGCCAGUUGUGUAACCAGUCUACAGUGUGAGUGCAAGUGUAGUUAAUUUGUAGUUUUUUGCAGAAAUUUUGUAGAAGAAGAGCAAAUUUUGUUGUCAACAUUUUAUUUUUACACAAGAUUGUAGUUUAAUUGUAGUAUAAAUGUAACAAUACAACUUUAUACAAUACUUAAAAUGAUUUGUAGUUUAUUUGUAGAAAUUGUAUCUACAAACUGAAUACAUUGAAUUUUAAUAUUCCAAUUCUCAUUUCAAUUGUACCAUAAUUGGCAUUUUCGACAUAAUUGUAGAAGACUUGUAGAAAUUUUAGUCUUCUCAAUCUACAGUUUAUCUACAAAUUAUCUACAUUGUAUCUACAUUUUAUCUACAAUUCUACAAUUUAACUACAAUUUAACUAUAAUUUCUGAAAAAAUAUGUUUUCUUCUUCUUCGACGAGUUUCAAUAUGAAAUUCAGUCAAAACCAAGUCUAUUCUUCGACGUGUUUCAAUCUGAAAUUCAGUCAAAAAUUUCACCAGAACCCCUCAAAAUUUAGAUAUAAACUCCUAAACAUAUUCCAAAUUAUUUACAACAACACCCAAUCCAAACAAAUAAUGAUUUUUGAAAAUUCAAAAUUGAAUUUAAAGCUUUCAAGCUUUUUAAUGGCUAUCAAUGGUGGAAAAUACAUGGAGAAUGAGAGAAUCACGCUGUAAUGGAUUUUCUUCCGUUAUAAAUCUCGAAAUUAAUGGUGAUAGAAUCAUCAUUAAAUCUGAUUCCUUCUAUUUUGGUGCGUUUUUAGGGUGGAAUUCAUCUAUUUUUGGUUUGGUACAGAUUUUGUAGAUAAACUAUGGACUAGGCGGGUAAAUACAAUAUUAUGAACAUUUUUGAUAAUAAGGUUUGCUAUAUGGUAUAGAUAGGUAAAAAUCCCUUUUGUUUAUUUAUUUUCAGUUCUUUUCACAUUUUCACUUGAGAGAAAAAGAUUCUUAAAUUCUCUCUAGAGUUUAAGUUUUGAUAAUGCAAAAACAAAACAAAAGUAGUCAAAAUAAUUAUUAAGAUAAUUACAGAUAAAAUUUUCUAAUAUGCAAUAAUUGAUAAUAUAUUAAAAAAGCAAUGACUUACUAUAAUAUAUUACACUAAUCGAAUAAAUAAUUAUUCUCCCUGUUCCAAUUUAUGUAGAUUUAUUUUUGCAUAGUCCACGAUUAAAACUAUCUAAACUUUGACUAAUAUUCUUAGUUUUUAUAUCAUAUUAACAUGAGAAGAAUUAUAAUUCAUAUUAUUUUUCAUAUAAUUUUGAAUAUCUAAAUUUUAAUUUUAUAAUAUUGAGUUAAUAUAAUUUUAUUUAGCUUCAAAGAUUAGUCACAUUAACUCUCGAAAGAUGAAAAGAUUCAUAUAAAUUGGCACGAAAUAAAUAUUAAAUUUUAGCAGGGGCAAAACUAGGGGCACAAAAUAGUUUAUUCGAAUUUCCUUCGUCCGAAACUUACACUAUUGAAAUUAUGAUAUAUAUAUAAAAUAGAUAUUAAAUUUCUUUAAUUUUUUUGUGUUCUUGUUUUGAUAUUCGGCUUUUUUUAAAAAAUCCUGCACCUACCAUUAAUUAUUAUUGUAUACAGCUUAAUUACUUUUUUGUUUCCAUUUAUAGAUUAUCUAAAUCCAACGGCCGACAAAACAGUGGAAAACAAAUUGUUCAAUAUUUGGUCUAAGAAAGAGGCUAUCGUGAUACAAAGUACAGUCCUAUAUUAGGUACUCAUUUGUAGUCAAAAAAUAUAGCCAGAAAGUCAACCUUUUCAAUCUGUGAAACCUCUUUGAGGUGUUAGUUUUAUAAAUAUGUCAAAACAUAAAGAAAAUUUUAAAAUAAAAAUAAAAAUAUGGAAUGACAUGCUUGGAAAUUUAUUGCUUAUUAGUUAGUAAGUUUUAACAUUUAUUGCCAACAAUAUGUAGCCAUACAUUUGAUCUCUUCUUUCUUUAUUUUAUACUGGUUUGGAAGAUAACAUUUGAUAAAUUUAUUUAUGGAAGUAUUAAAACCAAACUUCAUAUGAAAUUGAAAUUUGCAUCCCCCUUCUUUUAAGAAUAAAAUAAAAUUAUUUGGGCAAAUUACAUAGCCAGUCCGCCAAAAAUAAUUAUAUCCACUAGCCAAAUGUAUAAAAGAUAUACAAAAAAAAUAUAUAGUUUGACAGCUAUUAUUUUUGGAAGCAGCUAUAUUAUAUAAUUUUUCCAAGAGAAAUUUUCGUUCCUAUACCAUAUAUGAAACUAUAUUACCAAAUAUGUUCAUAGUUUGCUAAUUACCCUUCAUGCUAAUAGUAUUCCCACAAAAUAUAGACAAUGCAUUAAAUAAGAAAUCAUUAUGGCUGUAGGAUUUCUUAUUUAAGCGCGCAAAAAAUUGGGAAUUAAAUAUUUUUCAGAUCUUCCACAACGCAAAUCACGCACAUUCAUAAUUAUCGUCGGCUUCGUUUCAAAUUUUUUAUACUCUGUUUUCGCGAUACUCUGUUUCCAGAAUUCUCUCUAUAUCUCUCUCUAUCUCGUAAUCCCAAAUUUCAGUAAUACAAAGCAAAGGAAAAGAGAGCAGCAAUUCCACCAUCGACAGCCAUUAAAAAACUUUGAAGAUUUGAAUUCAAAUUUGAAUUUUCAAAAAUUAUUUGCUUGGAUUGAGUGUUGUUGAAAAUAAUUGGAAAUAUGGUUUGGAGUUUAUAUCUCAAUUUUGAGGGGUUUUGGUGAAGAUUAGNNNNNNNNNNNNNNNNNNNNNNNNNNNNNNNNNNNNNNNNNNNNNNNNNNNNNNNNNNNNNNNNNNNNNNNNNNNNNNNNNNNNNNNNNNNNNNNNNNNNNNNNNNNNNNNNNNNNNNNNNNNNNNNNNNNNNNNNNNNNNNNNNNNNNNNNNNNNNNNNNNNNNNNNNNNNNNNNNNNNNNNNNNNNNNNNNNNAAUUUCAUAUUGAAACUAGAAGAAGAAGAAGAAGAAGAAGAAGAAGAAGAAGAAGAAGAAGAAGAAGAAGAAGAAGAAGAAAAAGAAGACAUGAUAUACAUUAUAUUGCAGAAAUUGUAAAAAAUUAUAGAUUGUUGUUUAUUUAUUUAAUUCUAUUCAUUUACCUAUUAUAUGAAAGUUGAAAUACAUUGUAUAAAAAUUAUAUUUAAGUAGAUGACUUAGUACUGUUUUAGACAAAAAUAUGUAUCAAAAUGUGAAACAACAUUUCAAGGAAGGCAUGUCGAGUCCAAAUAUAUACCCACUUUGUAGAUAAAUUGUAGAUUAUUUGUAUUCUAAUUGUAGAUGUUUUAUUUUUUAUUUUCACAAAUAAAAAUGACUAAAAUUUUUAUAAAUCAUAUGAAAAAUGAAAUUACGUCAAAAAUAUCAAUUAUGCUACAAUUGAAUGAGAAUUGGGAUAUUAAAAUUCAAUGUACCUAGUUUGUAGAUAAUUUGUAGAUUAUAUGUAUUCUGGUUGUAGGUGCUUGAUUUUCUGUUUUCACAAAUAAAAAACGACUAAGAAUUCUACAAAUCUGAUGCAAAAAAUGUAAUUAUGUCGAAAAUUCCAAUUAUACUACAAUUGAAUCGGAAUUGGGAUAUUAAAAUUUAAUGUACCCAAUUUGUCGAUAAAUUGUAGAUUAUAUAUAUUCUGAUUGUAGAUGCUUUAUUUUCUGUUUUCACAAAUCAAAAACGAUUAAAAGUGCUAUAAAUCUUCUGCAAAAAAUGCAAUUAUGUCAGAAAUUUCGAUUAUGCUACAAUUCUGUGAUUCUCCUAUAUGCUCUUGGUACUCCUUACGAAACUGCUACAUUAAAUAUGGAAUCCAAAAAAACAUGAUGAGCGGAUAGAUCUUCCUAAUUUUGUUGAUAAUUUGUAGAAACAUUGAAAUUUUAUAUUUUCAUAUUAAUUUUUAAAAUGAUAUGUAGUUUUGUUGUAGAUUAAAUGUAGAAAUAAGCCAUUAUAAGUCUUAUUUGACUCAUUCCUCACAUUCAACUUAUUAUACAUAUUCACGCCUCUUUAAAUGCAAUACAACUAUACUUUCUUGAAUUUAAAGGUAUAGCAAUAUAUAUAACUUAAAAAUAUCUUCUCGUUUAUACAAUUUAGCUCCAAAACAGACGAAGUGGAAUAACAAUCUCCCAUCAAAACUUCGAACACAAAAACACAAAGCUCAAAAAUAAAUAAACAACAGUCUAUAAUUUUUUACCAUUUUUCUACAAUUUAUCUACGAUUUCUGCAAUAUAAUAUAUGUUAUGUCUUCUUCUUCUUAUUCUUCUUCGAGUUUCAAUCUGAAAUUAAGCCAAAACCAAGUCUAAUCUUCAUUAAAACCUCUCAAAAUUAAGAUAUAAACUCCAAACCAUAUUCUCAAUUAUUUGCAACAACACCCAAUCCAAAUAUUUUUGAAAACCCAAAUUAGAAUCAAAGCUUCAACGCUUUUUAAUGGCGGCAAUGGUGGAAUUGCUGCUCUUUUUUCCUUUCCUCAUAUAUUACUGAAAUUUGGGAUUACGAGAUAGAAAGAGAAGUAGAGAGAAUUCUCAAUUCUUUGCAACAACAUCUAAUCCAAACAAACAAUAUCUUUUGAAAACCCUAAUUCAAGUUCAAAGCCUUAGCUAUGGAAGAAAUAGUGGAAUUUUGAUACAGAAAUCGUAGGUGUGGGAGGAAAACAUGGGUGAAGGUAUGAGAAUUGGAGAGAGAAAUAUGGGGAAGUGAUACUAGAAGAAAUAUACAGUACCAUUAAAUUAGGAGUAUAAUCAAUAUCCUUAAAACUCAUUACGGUAUGUAAUUGAUUAUUAAGUAUACAAAAUGUAAUUCUAUCAAAUUUUAAACAUUAACGAUAAUAUAAUUUCCUGUAUGGCAUAGAAAUACAAAAAUUCUUUUUUCCAAAUUAACUAUUUCUUGCAUUCUUUAGUCCGCACGGCCCAAAAGAAAGAAAAGAAAAGAACAAUUUCUAGAAAGAAAAAAAAGAAUAAUUAAGAUUUCAUUUUUUUUGGGUUUGGAAACCGGUGAUUUUAUUAAAAAAAUAUAUAUAACAUCUGGUUAUGUCAAGGGCAAUUCUUGAUAAUUAUCUCUCUUCUUUUGUCUAAUAUACUAAUUUAUUAUGAUAAGAAAUGUCUGCUAAUGACAUCUUAUUUUGUUUUACUUUUUUCAAAGAGGACAAGGGACGCUUAUGGUAGUAAAAUUGAGUUUGACAUCUUAUUUUGUUCCGCGUUAAUUGUUUUUACUUAUCAAAUAAAUUUGACAUUUUGUUUGAAUAAUUAAUGAUGAAAGCAAUUGUUAGUUGAAGUAAAGACACUCAUUUAGUAACAAAUACAGUAACUGUAUAGCUAAAAGAGAUAACGCAUCAGUAGGUUAAAAUAAUGUAAUUAACUUCAAAAUUUGAUUCUAACAUUUUUCAAAAAAAAGGAAACUAUUGAAAAUUGAAAAUUCAACAAAUGAAAGGUUCUUAUAAUUAGGGCAGUGCAUAAUUUAUAAAUACGAAUUACCAUAUUGAAACUUAAGUGAAAAUUUUGGUAUUUAGUAUUCGAUAUUUUGGUAUUCGGUAUAGUAUUUAGUUUAAAUUUUUAAAAAAUAUGGUAUUAGAUAUGGUAUUUGGUAUUCUAAAAAUACCGAUACCAUGCCGAAAUUAGGGGUGGGCGUCGGUCGCUUUAAUUCGGUUAUGAAUAUUAUCGGUUUAGCAUAUCUGUUUACAAAUUUGAUAAACCGAUACCCGAACUGAUAAGAUAUUGGUUAUCGGGUGUCGGUUAAUCGAUUAUCGAUCAUUAUCAGUUCAGUUAUCGGUUUAUCCGAUAAGAUAACUCUAUCUAGAGUUAAGCGAAAAAGAAAAGACAAUUUACUGGAUUUAAGCAAAAGAGAGAAGAAUUCACAUAUAGUUGUUACGAUCCCAAACCGGCCCGAUCGUGAUGACGCCUCUCAUGAAGACGAGGCCAGCCGACGCAACAAUUACAUUAACCAUUUAAUCCUUAAGAGUCAUAUUUUAAACAUUUAAUUAGGACAACAUUUCAUAAUAUAAGUCUAAAUAAAAUUGCGAAAAUAACAUACAAGCCCAACAUCGAGGUGUCACUAAUCAUGAGCAUCUAUCAAGGUCUGAAAAUAACAACGAGUCUAAAAUAAUGUACUAAAUACACUAAUAGCAAUAUGAGGAAAGAAGCGGUGCUGCUAACGUCAUGCAGCCACAUGUUGACUCUGAUGACUCCGCGUAUGAGCAAAUUAACACCCGCUACCGGGUUUCGAUAUACCUGUAUUUGCACACGAGGUGCAGGGAGUAAUAUGAGUACUUCAUCCCAGUAAGUAAUAAGAAUAAACAAAAACUGAGCAUUAGGAAAUAAUGAUUCCAUAUUCACAUUAGGCUCAAUAAACACAACAGGCUUUCAAAUCAUAAUACGAGUCAACCUUCCCUUUUAAAAUCCAGCUUUUAGUAGAAAUUAUUUUGAAGCACUUUCCAGCAAUUUCAGUAGGGUUCAAUAUCAUUUAAAAUGAUAAUAGAUAUUAAAGACAUAAUCGACCCCACAUGCAAAACAAUAAUAAUAAACACUUCAUAACUUGAAAUCUCUGUGGAAAUAGCCAAAUACCAAAUCAGUGAUUACUUUCUGAACAUCUCGUAAACCCCAAUUUAAAAAAAAUUGUUUUAAAAUAUUUGUUCAACCUUUCGACAGAGGCUCAAUAUAAAGAUGAAUGAAAAUAAUCAAUAAUCAACAUAUUCGAUAGAAACUCGCUUUUAGGAGGAGUGAAACCAAUAAGUUCAUAAACAGGACUUUCAGGAAAAAUAUCACUCAUGUGCAUGUAUAUAUAUCUAUCGCCCUUCGGGCUAGCCUCUCUAUACUCGUGACUCAUCUCUUACCAAAGAUUACUCACACUUAGCAUUCAUGCUCAGAAGGUACCAUAUGGUAACCGUUGCGGUGUGUAGCCCGAUCCAUAUAUCGUUGGGGUGUGUAGUCCGAUCCAUAUAUUUCGUCGAUAGCGCUCAUUAAGGGUGUGCAGACUCCAAGAGGGGCCCUUUACGGCCCAAGCGCAAUAUUGUUGCAGCGUGCAGCCCGACCGAACAUACCGCUGCGGCGUGCAGCCCGAUCCAUAUAAGUAUUGCUCGGCGUGCAGCCUGAUCCGCAUACAUACAUACAUACAUACACAUACAUACAUACAUACACAUACAUACAUACAUACACAUACAUACAUAUAUAUGGCCUCUCUCAGUCAUUAACCUCGCCAUCAGGCUCUCAGUCUAUCUCAGUAAAACAGGGAACUCAGCCCAAAACAGUUUUUACACUUUUAAGAAUAUUGCUAUAAAUCCAGAUUCAAGUAAUAACAGGCAAAAACAUGACUGAGGAUAUGGUAAAUAAAGACCUUAGCCAAAAGCAAGGGAUUCCCGGGGCCCGAACGAGAGCAGAGGCUGCAAGGUAGGUAUUCUCAAAAAAGAAAGAAACGAAAACAGGCAGGGAGGUAAGAGCGAGUAAGACUAGGUUAUAGCAAGACAACAGAGGUUAGAUAGCUCUUACCGGAGGAAGAGGGUUCAGGUCACCCGUCCCCUUGACCCAGACACGAACUAAUCCUUCUCUCUCUCGAAUGUAUGCCCGGUUUUCGUCGAAUCUUUUUGAUCACCUUCAAAAACAAACCGGAAUUCCGUCUUGACAUGAUAAAUAGUGAUGCCCACCUGCAGAGCGUAGUCCUCCCUGCAGCCUUGAAGUAGACUAUUUCUCGAGUCUGAUCUUAUCCCCAAAGCCUUUUUGCAAAAGGAGUAGGUAGCGAGAUA
rnacentral:lncRNA from 1 species